AUUAAAUAUUUUAUUACUUAUACAAUUGGUUCAAAAUGCCACAUUUUGGCAGUGUCGUUGAAUGCUCAAUACGUGCUGAACGAGAUACGGUUUCUUUUUUUCGAUUUUAGCGGGACAGAAGAGAGAGAUGAUUUGAAUGUUUUCUCUAGUGAACGUCGAAAUGCUUGUGUUAAGGCUUUAAAACGGGCGCCUCUACGUGAAAUCUAUAUAAGAAAUGAUCGUAUUUGCUCGUAUUGCGGACAUUUCAUAACUGGAAAACCAGCUGCCUUGGAAGACAAAACUAAUCCAGAUGUGUUGCUCAACGAAAAUUUAGGAAACAUUUGUAGUCUCUAACCAGGUCAAUAUGCCUGCCUUAUUUAAAAGGUUUUUAAAAAGAACUAGGAUGAAGCCAGGGCUGCUGUUUUUAGGUCCGAGCUGAAGUUGUGUUUGCAUCGUGCACAAGAAUUUGAAAGUGUUUCACAAUUUAUUGAAGAAAUUUGAGCAAAGCAGAUUUAUGGAAGCUGUGUUAGUGAGUCAAUUCAAGCUGAUGUACUUUAUUGAAGAAUAUUCAAGUCGUGUUUUGCAGAAUUUAGAUUUUUGCAAUUCAAUAAUGUACAUCUUGCAAGCAAAAGUUCAAGUGGUGGGUGUAAAUGAGAAUUCUGUUAAAAAUAAAUGCUUUAUCCCUAACGUGUGUAGCUGAUAUCCUUUGAACGGUGCCAGACUCAGCAUCCUUGUAAACUUGCAAAUUUUUAUAAGCCUUGAGCUGUAAUCAAGGUAAAAUGUAAAAAUUACGGUUUUAAAUUAAGUGAUUCGCCAAAUACGUAGUGAUGUUGGGGGACUUAUAAAUAUCAAGCCGUAAUGACCAAGGGGGAUCAAACAAUAACUCUACUAACCUGUGAAUAUAACUGUAUAGUAACUAGUAACUAGUUAGCUUUAUAUUCAAAGAUACUAACUAUAUACUAAAGUACCUGGAACGGCCCCUGCCGUUGUUGAAUAACGGGGAGUUUGUGUCAGGGACAACAGAGAGAGAUAGCCUAAUGAGACGGUGGCUUGUCUCUGCCAGACCCGUUUCGUUUUACCUGGUAAAACUGCAUAAGUUAAUAGUUUGUAAUAUUUUAUAUGGUUUGCGUGUGUUGUAAAUUCAAUCAAAAUAGAUUUCAACGACAGUAUAUGUUAGCGUGUCGAGGUGCUAUUAUUGUUUCCUGCUGUUUUAAUAAUAAGUGUGUGAAAAAGACAAAAUUGUGUUUCCAUAAUGGUGAUCUCUUGUGUUGCUUAUGCCAUAAUGAGCAGGAUUCAAGGAAAAUUCCGUUUCAUACGUAAGUAUUAAAUUCCAAAUCAAAUAGAGACAAUAAAUGACUGAAACCCAGGAAUGAAUUUGAUUUGGAAUUGAAACAUAGCCAGGAAAGUAUAUACAAUUUUUCCAUUUAAACGUCCUCAAAAACUAAAAUUAUGGAUGCCGGCACUUCGCUGGGAUAGUUGGCGUCGCCUUAUUGAUCAAAGCACUUGUCAUGACUGCAUAGAAAUUUUAUUAAAGAGAGCGCACCCCCCAAGCCUUUAAAAAAUAUUG